rnacentral:rRNA from 1 species
AGUGAACGCUGGCGGUAGGCCUAACACAUGCAAGUCGAACGGCAGCACAGUAAGAGCUUGCUCUUACGGGUGGCGAGUGGCGGACGGGUGAGGAAUACAUCGGAAUCUACUUUUUCGUGGGGGAUAACGUAGGGAAACUUACGCUAAUACCGCAUACGACCUACGGGUGAAAGCAGGGGAUCUUCGGACCUUGCGCGAUUGAAUGAGCCGAUGUCGGAUUAGCUAGUUGGCGGGGGAAAGGCCCACCAAGGCGACGAUCCGUAGCUGGUCUGAGAGGAUGAUCAGCCACACUGGAACUGAGACACGGUCCAGACUCCUACGGGAGGCAGCAGUGGGGAAUAUUGGACAAUGGGCGCAAGCCUGAUCCAGCCAUACCGCGUGGGUGAAGAAGGCCUUCGGGUUGUAAAGCCCUUUUGUUGGGAAAGAAAAGCAGCAGGUUAAUACCCAGCUGUUCUGACGGUACCCAAAGAAUAAGCACCGGCUAACUUCGUG